UACAGAGGAGCCAAGCGUUGUCCGGAUUGACUGGGCGUAAAGCGCACGCAGGCGGUUGCGCGCGUGGGGUGAGAAAUCUGGCCGCUUAACGGCCAGGCGCCAUCCCAUACGGCGCGACUGGAGUGAUGCAGAGGUCGAUGGAAUUGCCGGUGUAGUGGUGAAAUGCGUAGAGAUCGGCAGGAACACCCAGGGGGAAACCAGUCGACUGGGCAUCUACUGACGCUGAGGCGGCGAAAGCCAGGGGAGCGAACGGG
rnacentral:rRNA from 1 species